GGCGGGGGCUGCGGAGGAGACGCCUCCCGGGCUGCCCAACCCGGCUCCGCGGGGCCGGCGGGGGCGCGGCGCCCGGCCCGGGCAGAGGGAGCCGGCGCGGGUAGGCGGGAAGCGCCGCGCCGGGCUACGGCGGGGGGCGCGGGCGGCACCGGGGCCACCGCGCCCGCCGGGGCGAGGCCGCAGCCCCUCCCCGCCCGCGGCGUCCCCGCCUCCCCGCCCGCCCGGGGCCGGGGCCGCGGGUCCCGGGGCCGCCGAGCGCGGAGCCCCCUUGGCUCGGAGGCGCGGCCGGGGCACCGCGACUCCCCGCGGAGCCCCACCCGCCGCCCGUCCGGCUCUUCGCCUCACUUCUGGCAGCACAAGACGUGUCGGCCGGCCCCGGCCCCGCCCCGUUCUCCUCCUCCUCGACAGGGCUGAGGAUGCCAAGUGCUGCACGUUGUAGGGCUGUUUGCACUCGCAGUUGCACGGCACGGUUGCAAAAAGGCGCGGCAGCGUGCGCGUGUUAGGGGAAAAGGGAAAAAAACAAAACGCAGCGAUCUUCAUGUGCAAAACUUCGUUUUCUGAAACAGGAACCAAAAUCUGGCCAGUCAGCAGUCAGUUCUCGAUCAAAAUCUUGGUGACCUCUCUCUUUGCCCUGUUUUUCUCUCCCUUAAAAAAAAUAAGUAAAAGAACCAUUUUGUAUAUGCAAGAACAUAUUUAUGAAAGUGGCCAAUAAAUUCUCAGAAAAUUUCUGUCCUUAAGGCUAAAAUCCUGUAGGGAAAGAGAUAGAACAUAAUCAUAUAAUUACAUAAUUAAAGCCUUUACCAUAAUGCCCAUUCUCGUGGGUAAAGGUUGCACGUUAUGUGCAACAUUUCAAGUAGUACGAGGAGACUGGAGUAAUUACAGUUGUUGACAUUAUGUUGCAAAACAUGUACAAAAGUAACUGUUGUUAUCACGUGAUCCUUUUUUUAAACUUUAUUGCAUGUACUUUCUUUUGCAAGAGCUUUAUGAAUAGGGCUGUCACAGACGUGUUAGGAAUUGAAACUGCCUGUGUAUGGAAAGGAGGAGAGAGAACUUGGGUUGUAGUUGGAGAUAUUCCAGUUUACUGAGCUGCUAGUGGAGGAGGGAAGGACUUGAUAGGAUCCCUUAGCUAGAAUUAGCCACAAUGAACAAAAAAGUUUUAAGAAGUAGCACGGCACCCCCCAAAAAAAGCUGCAGCAUGAGUGGCAGUACCUAUUACACAUCAAAGAAUCCAUCCACAGAGGACUGCCACCUCGAAGGAUAAAUUCAUGGAAAUCAGGUUUCUUUGGCUCCAUUGUUCAUGAAUCUGUUUGCUUUUAUGUGAGACAUGUUAUUCCGUGUUUUAAACUAUAAUCAUUAAACCGGAAGAGAGAGACCCGGAGAUGUAACUUUUUAUCAUUCCUUCUUUCCCUAGGAUAUUAUUGUUUUAACUUGUGUGUCAUCUGCUUCCACUGCAAGCUCUUCAGAUGCAGGAGAGAAUACUUUGUCUCGUGUUUGUAUAGCAGCCAGGUCGCUACAGUCUCCGGGCAGAUUGUGGCACCGUGGUCGGAAGGAGCACUCCCGGUGACACAGAGCACAGCACGUUGUAACUACAGCAAUAGACUCAACCGCAAAAGAUCUCUAUCAGGCAUCACAGAGAAUUUGAGGCAGCUGGCAGUUAUCAGCUGAAGCAGGUAGUCAGUAGAAGUGUAGAAGAUAAAUAGAUAAUAGAAAAGCAAUCUGGAAACCUGGGAGAGAUAAUAAGCCUCUCUUCUAGAGGGGAGGUAACAACUCAGGUAGGUCACUGUUGAACUCAACUCCCAGACCAGUGCUGCGUCUAAUACUGCUGAAAAUACAGGAGCAGUUUGUGCCUGUCAGCUCUGAAGUAGUAUUCAAGAUGUUGUCGGAAAUGCAGUUUGACAUAUUCAGUUAUAGAAAUCACUAUUGCAGUAAAGCGAAGAAGGAUCAUACUGCUGAAAGACAGCUGACCAAAAUCUCAGGGACAUCAUGACCCUCUAUUAAAUUACAGCUGCCAGAACAGAAAACUAGUUACGCCCCCUUCUUAUCCUGCGUGCUGCUGUCUAUACUGCUGGUGCAACCGUUACAUAAUAUUCCUGCCAUACUGACCAUGGUCCUCUGUGGGGCACAUGAUUUCUUCUUUGUGUAAUUUCUACUUGUCUUAAAAUAACUGAACCAUUCUGUUUUCCCUACCGUGAGCACAGAAAAGAGAGGGAAAGGCCCAUGUCUAUAAGUGAAGAAUUGUGUUGUUCUUGGUAGCUGUAUAUUAAAACAGUCCUACAAAACAUCUUUCUCUUCAAGUCACUCUUAUAAUUCUCAAAUUCCUGUCCAUGUAAAGUGUGAAAUCUUGCAUGAACAUGCAAGGAAGCUGAUACCAUUUGAUAACUGUUCUUGCUGGGUUCUGAGAUGUUGUAGGACUGUAUUGGUGGUAGGGAGAUAGCAUCAGGAGAUAUUUCUGUGAGAGUGGGCGCAGAAAAGAAGUCUGUCAGUGGCAUCUUUCUACCAAAAAAGUGCUAGAGUUACUCCACUGACAUCUGUCUUUAUUUUGUUAACCCACUCAGGUGGACCAUACAAAGUAGCUGAUGUUAGUGAAAUGUGAAUUCUUGUGGAGCUGAACAACAAAUAAAGAAAAAAAAAACUUCUGCUGCUCAAUUUGCUUUGAAAGGUGCUUUAAAAAAAUCUCUCUGACCACAGAAGUUAUAAAUUGCUCUGUGGAUUUACACUGAAAGAGCGCAAACCAAGACACAUGCAUCAAAUAUUUUUAAAGUAUUAACUACGCUUAUUAAAGAAAGUCCUAAUCAGGAAAGUAACAUAUUGUGUUCACAAAACCCAUUAACAAAAUGUAGAUGUGCCCACGUUGUUGGUUGUGUUAGAUAAUGUGUAUCCUUUGAACAAUCUUCUCUGUAAUUCUUAAAAAGUAUCUGAGGUACAUGUUUUAAUUUUUUAUAUAUUGUUAUAAUCGUUGUUUUAUUAUGCCACUGGACAUGAAUUAAUUGUGUGCAUCUGUAAAUUCUGACUGUAAGUAGUGACUUCUGAGGGUGUUUUUCCUUUCAUACCUCAUUCUAUCACUGCUAAAAUAAGAAAAGGCCAAAAUUUCAAAGCUUACACACAUCAGAAGUUUAAAAUUACUUUAUGCUAGUUUUUCCAUUGUGCCAGUAUAAUCCUAAUGACAGACUUUGACCCAGUCAAGAUCCACUUUCUACAUCAGAUUCUCAGUUCAGAUGUUAUACAACUGCAAAUUACUACCAUUGUGAUAUAAGCUACACCUAACUUCAUUACAUUACGUAUCUUUUUAGGUAGCAGGAGAAUUUUCUUUUUGACUGACGUAUUUUUAUUUGCUUUUAAAAGAAUGAAAGAGAAAUAACAAAAAAAAAAAAGAUAAAAUUCUAGAAUGCUCCUAAAUAUUUAUUGUAUAAGAUUCCUGUAUAUCAGUAAUUAUCAGCUAACAAGAUAUUGACAAUAUGUUGUCCUAAACAGUGCAAACAAUAUAUAGGGAAUAUACGGAGCAAGAAGUAAGGGUGCGUCUCUCCCAGGGAAGCAUCCUUAGCGUUAGGACAGAAGAAGGUCCCUUUUCACUUUUUUCUCUCUCCCAUGGGUCCUAUGAAUGUUUCAAUAUUUUUCUACACUGUGAUCCAGAUUCAAAGGAAAAGUGGAGAAUAAAUAGCUCAACUCAGUCUCUGGCCACAUAACUCUCUGAGAUUUGGAUACUCCCAUAAGGCGUGUGAACAGAGGGAGGUCUCUUUCUGGUCAAGUUCCCUAACUGUGCAAACAGGAGGCAUCCUUCAUUACCUGGCUGUACUCAAAAGUUAAUGCAGUGCUCUGAAUCUCAGGGGAUGAAGGUGUCCUGUGUAGGUACAUGAGCAGAUAACUGUUCAGAAAAACAUCGUGGUUGAGCAUUCCCAAAGAUACUUGCUGUACUGCCAGUGGAAGGGGUAAGUCUUCCUCUUUAAGGUUUCUGAAUUUCCUCAUAGAGACACUUAACCCACUGACUGGGAUACCUACGGGACUAAAUUAGAAUCAUCCUGACAGACAGAUGUUACAACACCAGCAGAUAUACUAGUCUGAAUACAACCCUUAAAAGUAGAUUGGUUUGCAGAAACCUUAAGAAUCAAUGAGCAUACUCUGAUGGGAUCACAUUCUUCACUUAAGGUAACAUGAAAACCCAACUCCUGAGUUGGUCUACAGGUCAUGAAUAUCGUGAGCAUAUUGAAUGCGCAAUUCAUUUCAUAUGAGUAUGAAUGAACACGUAACAACAUCAUUUGUUAUUCAUUGUUUUGAAAGUACUGGACCAUAUAAUCAAAAUCAUACAUGAAGAGCUUUUGCUUCUUGUCUUUACAUCUUAUUAAAAUUACGGUUUACUUUGCAACUCUCCUCUGGGAUAGCCACAUUUUCCCAAAGUGGGUAAAACAUAAGAAAAAGAAGUGUGUUUGGAUUACUAGUGCUUUGCAUUCUUCAAAACUAAAAAUCCUCAGUACAUCAUGUAUUUACUUUCUUUACUGAGUAGGUCAAAAACGUAGUUUUGCAAGAUAAAGGUAUUAUAAAAUAUUUCAGAUGUAGCGAUAUGUUUAAGUUUGGGGGCUGCAUGUCCAACAGGUCCUUCUCCCAACACACAAUUCAACACAGGGAGACUUUUGAAGAAGAAACUACAUGUGGUUCUUCUUCACCUCUUUAUAUGUGUGGUUCUACAGGGAAGUACAAGGAAGCAGAAGUCAACUCUCUUUUUGGAGAAGGCCUCAGACUGCGAAUCCAAACCCUAUUUUCCCCAACAGAUAUGUGGCAUGACAGCCAUGUGUUUGCAGGUGUUCACAUACAUGCUCCGACUUCUUUUUGGUGACUUUCUUAUUCUGUAACAAAUAGGCCUGCUGGAACUUCUGCUGGUGCCCUGGGAUCACACUAUUUUGUUUUGGUUAUUCCCCAAAAUCAAUAAUAAAAAAUGUUUUUCUUCAUGUUUC